AGGCUCUGGAGCCCAACAGCACAGUGGUGACCGUGGGCAUCACUGAAUCUGUAUCCACUUCUGUGGCACAGGACAGGCCAGGCAGUCCCAGUGGCUCUGAGGACAAGGGCAACCCGGCCCCGGAGCUGAGGGCCUCCUUUCUGCCACGUACCUUGUCUCUGCGGAACUCCAUCAGCAGGAUCAUGUCGGAGGCGGGCAGUGGGACCCUGGAGGACGAGUGGCAGGCCAUCUCGGAGAUUGCCUCCACUUGCAACACCAUUCUGGAGUCGCUGUCCCGAGAGGGACAGCCCAUCCCAGAGAGCGGAGACCCUAAGGGAACUCCAAAGUCUGAUGCUGAGCCAGAGCCUGGGAACCUCUCAGAGAAGGUCUCUCACUUGGAGUCCAUGCUCAGGAAGCUGCAGGAGGACCUGCAGAAGGAGAAGGCGGACAGGGCGG
rnacentral:sRNA from 1 species